UGAGUCCCAGCCCCACGCACGGCUGGGCAGGGGAGGCUCCGAGUCCGGGGGUGGACAGCAGCCGUCUCGGGGCUGUAGGACCCUCAGCGGUGCCCGCCCGCCUGGGUCCUCCUCCGCCCGUGGGCUCGCGCGUGGGGUCCGGGCGCCGAGGCCGCGCCGCCUUACCUGGGCCCCUACUCCAUUCUCCGCCUCGAGGGGCCACACCUGCGCGCGGACCCCAGCCCGGCCGGCCGCAGAGGCCCAGCCCACCCGGCGUCUCUAGGACGCUGUUGCCCGAGCGACGAGGACACUCGCUGAUUGGAGAAUGAGUCUCCGCACCCAGCAAGAAGCGGAGCUCCUAUUGGCCAAAUAGACUACCGAAUGAGGAGGGUGAAGGGGCGUGACCAGAUCCGGCCGGUGGCUCAGCCGCCGCAGAAGGGACUUCCGCCGGAAGUCCUGCCCCUGGGGCACGGGAACCUGCUUGGAGUCGGGGCGACGCCGUCGUGGAAGCGCGUUCUGUUACGCGGCUUUCGGGCGAGCGGGCGGCCAGCCUGGUCCCGCCGAAGCGCUUGGAGCCGCGUGGCCUUGGGGGUCAGUGCCCUCCUGAGCGGCAGACGCCCCCUUGUGCCAAGCACGUACCCCUCGGGGCUGGUGUCGGGAUAGGGGGAGCGGAUCCAGAGCCCGACCGCGUGCCGCGCGCUGCCAGAGUUCCAUCAGGUGUCCUCUUGUUCAAAACCAGCAGUAGCUGAGACAAUCUGUUGUUCAAGAUGAAAUAAGAGAGAACAAGCUGCUACAUGAGAGUCUCGGAAUCUGCUGCUCAAAGCCUUUGAUGAUAAUCUGGAGACGGAAACCACGGGAAGUUGGGGCAAAUAUUUUUACACUUAUGAUAUCCAACCGACAGCUCAUUCCCUCAGGAAUCAAGAAGAAACUCGGGGGUGAUGGAGAGCUGCGUCCCACCCUCCAGGCUUGGAGGCCUCACAGCUGCAUUUCCACCACAUUUCCGUACGCCCAGGAGACUGUACCAUUUCACAGUAAUCGAUAAUGAUGUUAUAAAUGGAAGUUAUGCCUUCAUGUGGAGAAAUAAACAGCAGGAACUGAUUAACCCCCAAGAAGUUAAGUACUGUUUUCCACCUUGUCUAUUAAUAAAGACAGAAGGAAGAGCAAGCACGUGACACAGACACAUAAUGCAUCCAAACGAGAGCUGAGAAUGUCCCUGGGAAAUCUGUGAGGAGAGCUUUCUGACUGCUGUCCUUCUGGUGGCCUCCUAAAAUGGAGACCAGACUCUCCUGAGCUGUCCUUAGGAGAAAAAAAGAUUAAGUGAAAAUAAAUGAAGUAUAAGUAGCUG
rnacentral:lncRNA from 1 species